rnacentral:rRNA from 1 species
GAUGAACGCUGGCGGCGUGCCUAACACAUGCAAGUCGAACGGGAACCCUUGGAUUCGUCUGAGGGGGAGAGUGGCGAACGGGUGAGUAAUACGUAGGUGACCUGCCCCAGAGAGGGGGAUAACCACUGGAAACGGUGGCUAAUACCCCAUAUGCUCGGUAGUUCGUUCUACCGAGUAAAGGCUCCGACGCUCUGGGAGGGGCCUGCGGCCCAUCAGGUAGUUGGUAGGGUAAUGGCCUACCAAGCCGAUGACGGGUAGGGGGCGUGAGAGCGUGACCCCCCACACUGGCACUGAGACACGGGCCAGACUCCUACGGGAGGCAGCAGUGAGGAAUAUUGCCCAAUGAACGCAAGUCUGAGGCAGCAACGCCGCGUGGGCGAUGAAGGCCUUCGGGUUGUAAAGCCCUUUUCUGGGGGAAGAGGAAGGACGGUACCUCAGGAAUAAGUCACGGCUAACUACGUGCCAGCAGCCGCGGUAAUACGUAGGUGGCUAGCGUUAUCCGGAUUUACUGGGCGUAAAGCGCGUGCAGGCGGUUUCGUAAGUCGGACGUGAAAGCUCCUGGCUUAACUGGGAGAGGUCGUUCGAUACUGCGGGGCUUGAGGUCGGGAGAGGGACGUGGAAUUCCCGGUGUAGUGGUGGAAUGCGUAGAUAUCGGGAGGAACACCAGUGGCGAAGGCGGCGUCCUGGCCCGCACCUGACGCUGAGACGCGAAAGCGUGGGUAGCGAACGGGAUUAGAUACCCCGGUAGUCCACGCCGUAAACGGCGGAUACUAGUGUUGGCGACUAUCGUCGUCAGUGCCGUAGCUAACGCGUUAAGUA